UUUGCUAUCUAGCUUCGUCUCUUCCUCUCCGAUCAAUCUCACGUGCAUCUCCAAUCGACGUCGUAUUCAUCUCCGAUCCACUUCGUCUGCAUCUCCAAUCGACGUCGUAUUCAUCUCCGAUCCACUUCGUCUGCAUCUUCGCUUGACCUCGUCUGCAUCUCGGAUCGACCUCGUCUGCAUCUCCGAUCGAUGUCUCCUUCUGCGAACGACUUCGUCUAAUUCCCAAUUCGAUCUUGUCCCAGUCAUAUUGAUAUAUUAUCUUCUCUCCAUUUCCAAUUGAUCUUCACAUUCUCUCAUCUUGCUCAUAUUUUCAUAUGAAACCCUAAUCUAGCUGUUUUACAUCUAUAAUUCGUAUUUUGUCAAUUUCAGGUUCUUUCGGUUUUGAUUUUUUGUAUCCAGUUGAAGAAAAAGUAAUUGAAGCUUCAAGAGUCAUGAAAUGCUCUAAGAGAAGUUGUGAAGCUGCUUGAACAAACCGUUAACAAGUUCCAAACUCAGAGUGUGAGCUUCCAAAAAGAGUCUGCUGAUGUGUAUACCAUAAUUCAAGUCCCUCUCUUUGGACUCUGGGGAUUCAAGUGUUAUUAUAGCUGCAUAGUAAGAGGUGGAUGAGAUAAUCAAAACUUCAGAGAAUCAUGAGUCUGUGGAACUGGAAGCAAGUUUGGUUCAGAUAGGUGACAAUGUGGUUCUGCAAAAGUUGCUUAUACAUUAUAAAUGUUGGGGCUUUUACAACAAUGUGUUCAUCAUUGCUUGGUGGAAUGUUGCGUCAGCCAAGAGUUUUGAUGGCUAUGGGAAGGGAUGGACUACUGCCACCAUUUAUUUUGACAUAAAUAAACACAACUAUCUUCAUGUAAAGAGUACCUUAGUUACUGGCCUUGUUGCUGCAGCCUUGGCAGUUUUCAUGGAUGUCUCUCAACUUUCUGGGACCUGGAGAUGUUGGUAAGUUUAACUCAUCUAAUUAAGAAGUUAACAAUGCCUCUUUUACAUUUUUUAUUAUUGAGUUGUGUUAUUUUCACAUUUCAAUUAAUCGGAUGGAUUAUGGAUAUAGUUACAAGGUGUCACAAUUCAUUAAUUAUCAACUGAGUACAACUGACAACCGUUUUUAAUGUCAUUAACUACA